rnacentral:lncRNA from 1 species
UGAAAUAAUUAGAUGUGGAUUCAGCUAACUUUGUGUUAUGCGGCUUUCAUUUCUCUGCAGUUUUUUGAACUUUUUCCUGUUGUCCUUUUAAUGACACCAACUUUGUAUUAUAGGAUUUAAAGUUUAAAUCGAGUUCCUUGUGCUAUUAUUUUAUAAUACAUCCUGUAUUGAGCAAAUUUUUUAUGCGCGUUACCGUGGUUGCAUUUGAAGACAUGCUUUCUUCAGUUGCUCGUUUUAUUUUCAUGUAACAAGGUGUCAUCUGAACUAGAGUGGCCGUGCACCAAGCAAAUUCAAUGGGAUACAAUCCAAGUACCAACCAAUCAAACCUCCCUAAGCGGGGUCGCGUCAAUGUUGAGUUUAAGGGAGCCAUGCUGUGGUUUGGUCCAUGAAAUGUCAGGUGGUUCCACCUCCCGAGAGGGACGAUCAACAUCCCCA